AUGUUAACCAUAGAGGAGUUUGAGGAAGGUUGGAAGUACCUUAUAAAGAAAUACAACCUGAAGAGCCAUGACUACAUGACUAAUUUGUAGGAGAUAAGGCAUAAGUGGGCGAAGCCAUACUUCAAAGGCAUGUUCUGUGCAAAGAUGACUAGCACUCAACGAAGUGAAAGCGCUAACCACAAGUUAAAGAACUAUGCGCCGCCUGGGAGCCCAAUGCAUAUCUUUGUCAGGAAGUAUAUGAGCUUAAUAUUUGACCGGGAGGCAGAAGAGAAUUAUGAGAAGCGUACAACAAUAGUAAGCAGUGUCUCCAUGAUAACAAUUGCUAUGGUUUAA
rnacentral:rRNA from 1 species